rnacentral:rRNA from 1 species
AUGCAGAAUCGUUUGGGUCUACUUGUCACGGACAUGAUGCCUAUAUACAUGAUCAUGCCUAGAUAUUCUCAUAACCAUGCUCAAUUCUGUCAAUUGCUCAAUAGUAAUUUGUCCACCCACCGUAGAAUACUUAUGCUCUUGAUAGAAGCCUCUAGUGAAACCUAUGGCCCGCGGGUCUAUUCUCAUCAUAUCAAUCUCCAUCACUUUAAUCUUGCUUUGCUUUUUACUUUGCUUUUACUUUUUACUUUGCAUCUUUAUACCAAAAAUACCAAAAAUAUUAUAUCUAUUAGACCUCACUCUCGUAAGUGA